rnacentral:rRNA from 1 species
AGUGAACGCUGGCGGCGUGCUUAACACAUGCAAGUCGAACGAGAACUGAUUAUAGCUUGCUAUAAUUGUCAGUUAAGUGGCGCACGGGUGAGUAAUGUAUAGGUAAUAUGCCUCUUACUAAGGGAUAUCAAAUGGAAACGUUUGCUAAUACCUUAUACUCCUUAUUAACAGAAGUUAAUAAGGGAAAGAUUUAUUGGUAAGAGAUUAGCCUGUAUUGUAUCAGUUAGUUGGUGGGGUAAUGGCUUACCAAGACUAUGACACAUAACUGGUUUGAGAGGAUGAUCAGUCACACUGGAACUGAGACACGGUCCAGACUCCUACGGGAGGCAGCAGUGGGGAAUAUUGCACAUUGGACGAAAGUCUGAUGCAGCAACGCCGCGUGGAGGAUGACACAUUUCGGUGCGUAAACUCCUUUUAUAUGAGAAGAUAAUGACGGUAUUAUAUGAAUAAGCACCGGCUAACUCCGUGCCAGCCGCCGCGGUAA